GAGUAAGUCAUAAUCAGUUGCAGGAGCAGUACGAGCAGUUAGAGCAGACAGAUUAUAAGAUAGAAAAAGAUAAAGAAAGAGUCAGGACAUUAUCAGACAGUGUCAGACAAGAUGCCGGGACCCAACUGCGACAAGUGCAAGGACAAAUGUCAAAGCUGCAAUUGCGGUGAUAAUUGCAAGUGCAGUGAUGGAAACUGUGGAGAUAAAUGCACCUGUAAAUCAUCUGGUACACAAUGCAAAUGUAAUCCAUGUGCUUGCAAAUGAAGAAUCUCAACAAAUUAUCAGCUUUAAACAAUAAACAUUAUUGUAACAGUUAUUAGAGUAAAUGUGUAUUUUCUCUAAAUUAUCU